GACCUUGCUUCCUCCACAGAGCCCUGAGCGCUACAGGUGGAAUCAUGCUGGGGUCUGUCACCCUCCUUCUCGCCAUCCUGCUCCCUGCAGGCCAGACAGCGCUCACCGUGGACCAGCCAAUGGUCUCCAUCACCAGACAGGCCGGGAAGUCUGCAAAAAUCCCCUGCGAGCUUUCUCAGAAAAGCAUCACAUACAUCCACUGGUAUCGCCAGCAGCCUGGGAAGGCUCCCCAGCGCCUGCUCUACUAUAACCUGGGCAUAUCAAAACAGACGUUGGAUGCAGGAUUCAGUUCGGACAAAUUCUAUGCUUACAAGAACAAUGAACAAAGCUGUAUUCUGGUGGUCCAGAAACUGGGCAUGAGUGAUACUGGCAUCUAUUACUGUGCCAGCUGGGACUCCACGGUGACACAGCUGCCUCUAUUCCCCGUACAAAAAAGUCACAGUCUGUGGUCACCAGGAGCAACUUCUGGCCCCGACGGAUCCAGCAGUGAACAACAGCCCCUGCUUCAGUCUCCUUGGUAA